rnacentral:rRNA from 1 species
UUCCAGACUCCUACGGGAGGCAGCAGUGGGGAAUAUUGCACAAUGGGGGAAACCCUGAUGCAGCGACGCCGCGUGAGCGAUGAAGUAUUUCGGUAUGUAAAGCUCUAUCAGCAGGGAAGAAGAUGACGGUACCUGACUAAGAAGCCCCGGCUAACUACGUGCCAGCAGCCGCGGUAAUACGUAGGGGGCAGGCGUUAUCCGGAUUUACUGGGUGUAAAGGGAACGUAGACGGCGAUGCAAGCCAGAUGUGAAAGCCCGGGGCUCAACCCCGGGACUGCAUUUGGAACUGUGUGGCUGGAGUGUCGGAGAGGCAGGCGGAAUUCCUAGUGUAGCGGUGAAAUGCGUAGAUAUUAGGAGGAACACCAGUGGUGAAGGCGGCCUGCUGGACGAUGACUGACGUUGAGGCUCGAAAGCGUGGGGAGCAAACAGGAUUAGAUACCCUAGUA